rnacentral:misc_RNA from 1 species
UACGUAGGGACCAAGCGUUGUUCGGAUUUACUGGGCGUAAAGGGCGCGUAGGCGGCAGAUCAAGUCAGCUGUGAAAUCUCCGAGCUUAACUCGGAACGGUCAGCUGAUACUGUUUUGCUAGAGUGCAGAAGGGGCAAUCGGAAUUCUUGGUGUAGCGGUGAAAUGCGUAGAUAUCAAGAGGAACACCUGAGGUGAAGACGGGUUGCUGGGCUGACACUGACGCUGAGGCGCGAAAGCUAGGGUAGCAAACGGG